UACGAAGGGUGCAAACGUUGCUCGGAAUCAUUGGGCGUAAAGCGCACGUAGGCGGCUUGCCAAGUCGGACGUGAAAUCCCUCAGCUCAACUGAGGACGUGCAUCCGAAACUGGCGAGCUUGAGUACUGAAGAGGAUCGCGGAAUUCCCGGUGUAGAGGUGAAAUUCGUAGAUAUCGGGAGGAACACCAGUGGCGAAGGCGGCGAUCUGGGCAGUAACUGACGCUGAGGAGCGAAAGCGUGGGGAGCAAACAGG
rnacentral:rRNA from 1 species